rnacentral:snRNA from 1 species
GUUAGCAUGGCCCCUACGCAAGGAUGACAUGCACAAAUCGAGAAAUGGUCCAAGUUUUU